CUUUGAUCUGCCACUACCCGCCGGCUACGUUCAGUUACCUCACAUCCGCGAUCGAAAUUGGACGGAGCUGAUGGACCGCAGGCAGUGUUCCGUUUGGGUGCUACGGUCUUGCUGGUCAGAAAGGCAACGAGCGGCAGAUUCUGAAGCGAUGAUUUCGGAGCAGAACCUUUGAAGGUGCGGAACGCGUGUACCUUCGACGAAGAGACACGACGGCCACUGCAGUUUUCUUCGCAUCUCCCGCAGAAACGGCCAGGACUUCAAAAGCAUGGGCUGCUUCCAUUCGUGCUGCUCAUCCGAGGAGACUGAACCGCAACGUCCUUUGUUGGCAGGUUCCGACUCCACCUCCAGCGUGUUCGGAUCGGUCGUUCACAGCAACAGCGACAUGAACGAACGUGUCCUGGAACUGCCAGAAGUAACCACAAGACAGAGGUCGGUGACCUUCACCGAAGGCACAGACACAGCUGCCAUGGGCAUUGACCACGGAGUAAGCAGGCUUCGUGCUUGGUCGUACGGAGGAUCCCGCGGCCACUACAGCUUGGCCUCCAGCGGCACUAGCACCCUGACCAUUGGCUUAAAGUACGGUUGCAGCACGGACACGCUGACCGAGGAUGACGGCGUCGGCGUGGCUGCACAACAGACAUCAGUGCUUGAAUGAACUGUUCGUCGACGAAUCUUGCUAUGUCUUCCGAAUUAAACGUUUGUUCGUCCAAUCGUUGCCUACUAACCUCGUUAUGUUCACCAGCGAAUUACCCCAUUUCAUCUGCUGUGCAGAAGAAAUUACUGUUUUUCAUCGGAAUGGAAGUGUUUCGCAAGAAUACGUAAAUACUCAUGCUGGAAGACCAGUGACACGACAACCACUGGCGCUUAUCCGCAAGUUCGCGUGACAUACGCCACUAUACAUGGAAUAAAGCUUUGCUUUUAACAUUUUA